rnacentral:rRNA from 1 species
AGGAGCUUGCUCCCUGAUGUUAUCGGCGGAGGGGUGAGUAACACGUGUGUAACCUGCCUGAUGACUGGGAUAACUCCGGGAAACCGGGGCUAAUACCGGAUGGUUGUUUGAACCGCAUGGUUCAAACAUAAAAGGUGGCUUCGGCUACCACUUACAGAUGGGCCCGCGGCGCAUUAGCUAGUUGGUGAGGUAACGGCUCUACAAGGGCACGAUGCGUAACCGAACUGAAAGGGUGAUCGGCCACACUGGGACUGAAAAACGGCCCAAAAUCCUACGGGAGGGAGCAGUAAGGAAUCUUCCGCAAUGGACGAAAGUCUGACGGAACAACGCCGCGUGAGUGAUGAAGGUUUUCGGAUCGUAAAGCUCUGUUGUUAAGGAAAAACAAGUGGCGUUCAAAUAUGGGGGCACCUUGACGGUACCUAACCAGAAAGCCACGGCUAACUACGUGCCAGCAGCCGCGGUAAUACGUAGGUGGCAAGCGUUGUCCGGAAUUAUUGGGCGUAAA